UACGUAGGGGGCAAGCGUUGUCCGGAUUCAUUGGGCGUAAAGAGCGUGUAGGCGGCCAGGUAGGUCGGUUGUGAAAACUGGAGGCUCAACCUUCAGAGGUCGACCGAAACCAUCUGGCUAGAGUCCGGGAGAGGAGAGUGGAAUUCCGUGGUGUAGCGGUGAAAUGCGCAGAUAUCAGGAAGAACACCCGUGGCGAAAGCGGCUCUCUGGAACGGUACUGACGCUGAGACGCGAAAGCGUGGGGAGCGAAACAGG
rnacentral:rRNA from 1 species